CUCUGUUUCAAGUGGCCAGGCCAUUCAAGUGCGCGAUCCGAUCUCCCUCUUCUCUCUGCUCCUUUUCCUUCAUGGUUGCUCUCUCUCGUCCAGAAACCCUGCUCUCUCUCGUCCAGAAACCCUAACCCCAAUCCCUUGAAGAAAUGUGAGGUCCCUCUUCUUUGUUUCUCUUCGAAGGAUCCAAAGAGAAACAAAGAAGAGGAUCUCUCCCGUCCGGAAACCCUAAUCUCCUUCCAAAAUUUUGAGGUCCAUUCUUUGUUUCUGUUUCAAGGAUCCCAGAACAAGUAAAGAGGAGGAUCUCUAACGUCCGGAAACGCUAAUCUCAUUCAAGAAUUUCGAGGUCCCUCUUGUUUGUUUCUAUGCGGAGGACCUAAGAACAAGGAAAGAGGAGGGCAUUCUAGGGAAAUGGGAAUCAUGGUGGAGUCACAACCUAGAUACUGGACGGUCAGACUUCGAAGAGAUCCUUCUGCUCGUAGUCUGCUUCAAAGAAUCCAAGAACAAGGAAAGAGGAGGGCAUUUUGGUGCUGGAGCCAAAGAUCGCAUGCUUCCUGUUCUAUGGUGGACUCAGACCCUGGAGUCUCUUUCCCCCGUGAUACUUGAAGAGAUCCUUUUGGAUGCUUCGUAUUUUUACUAUUUGUUAUUAAAUGAAGCUCUUGGACAGCCAGAACUGCUGCAAAAUGGUCCAGGAUUUUCUUUAGCACAGGUUUCUAAGCGGUGGUGUCUGUGGGCUGUAAGUCAUCAUCCAUUUUGAGCUUGGAUGGGGGCUAAAUAACUCAAAUUCAUGAUUGAAGAACCUUUAGAUCUGGUAAUGUGGCCACCGCUUUUGCAACGAGAUGUACACCCUUUUGUUAUUCAUGAACUAAAGGAGAUCCUGCCCAGCAAGAGGUCUGACAUAGUAAAGGAAGCCACGUCCUUCUACUGGCUCAACUUUUUAAUGCACGGCACAUGGGAUGUCAUGAUGCAACUUCGGUGGAUGAUAGCUUUACGAAGUUUUUUUUCUUUUCUUUUUUUUUUGGCCCAAUUAGCAACUAAACCACAUGUACUCCAUCUGAAAAGUGUUUUUUUUUGGAGGAUGGAAACUCAGGAGGAUCAGAGAGUCAAUCAAGUCUUCGAUGGUGCCAUGCGCCCUCUGAAAAGAGAAACUGAAAGCAGUUUAACUUGUAAUCCAUGGCAAACGCAACGCCCUGAGUGAGGUUCUGGCCGUGCACGUGAUGCCGCGCAUCCCGCGUUGCACGGUGAUGCUGCGUAUCCCAUAUGCGUUCGCACUGUGAUGCCGGGCCCGCAUGUCCAAUGCCGCCCGUCCUGUAUACUAUGCUCCUCCGAGUGUGGUACAUAGAAUGCAUGACAUCACACGCAUGGGCUCGAUAUCACCAUCCAUGUUCAGAUUGCGUUAGCCACUGAGGGCGAGCAUGUUUUGGGGGAAAAGGAAAAGGGGCCCAGGGAGACCAAGCAGGCUAUUGUACCCGAAGCAUGCGCCUUUUUUCUUAUCAGUAAAUUUCUGUAUGUCAAAUGUCACUGUGUUGCUGCAUAACUUGGAAGCAAUUCAGUUUAUGCUUGGCCAUAUUUGAAGUGGGAUGCCCGGCAAGAGAGUAAAAUCUUGGCUUUCCUCGCCUCUUUAA